AGCGAACGCUGGCGGCAGGCUUAACACAUGCAAGUCGAACGGGCACUUCGGUGCUAGUGGCAGACGGGUGAGUAACGCGUGGGAACGUACCUUUCGGUUCGGAAUAAUUCAGGGAAACUUGGACUAAUACCGGAUACGCCCGGGUCCUUUGGUUAGGAUUUGGGGAAAGAUUUAUCGCCGAUAGAUCGGCCCGCGUCUGAUUAGCUAGUUGGUGAGGUAAUGGCUCACCAAGGCGACGAUCAGUAGCUGGUCUGAGAGGAUGAUCAGCCACAUUGGGACUGAGACACGGCCCAAACUCCUACGGGAGGCAGCAGUGGGGAAUAUUGGACAAUGGGCGAAAGCCUGAUCCAGCCAUGCCGCGUGUGUGAUGAAGGCCUUAGGGUUGUAAAGCACUUUUGUCCGGGAAGAUAAUGACUGUACCGGAAGAAUAAGCCCCGGCUAACUUCGUGCCAGCCGCCGCAGUAAAAC
rnacentral:rRNA from 1 species